GGAAAAAAGUGACCCGAGCUGGGUCAGAGAGAGGAAGGAAGGGGUAGAAAGAAAGAGCAUCCUGUGUGUGGCAUUUUUCCUCCGAAACAGAAAAGAUGAGACAUUUCCCAGCGAUUACGGGCCCUUGGUUGCUACUUUAUGACAACUUCUGGUCGGUUGGGCUGGGCUUGGCUGAAAGUUGUUUCCUUAAGGCUCGUCCCUACGGAGGGUUUAGCAAACCCGACUGAGGUUUUAAACCAAUUCAGUUCAAUUGGCAUAAAAGCUGCCCGGACGCUUUUACUUCAGAUGCCUGAGGCAGACCGGUUUUCCUUGCUGCAUGACCGUAUUCCAGUUAUUUCAGGCUUGGCCGGGCAGAAAAAGUUCCAAAGCUGUGGAAUCUCCAAGAAGAGACCUCGCCAUUAGCAGUCUUUUAGCACAGCAGUUCCAGCCCCUGCUGAUCUCCUUUGAGAGCUGCUAAACUCUAUUGUUUGGAUUUUUAGGUGCUAAACUCCACCCUUUUCCUGGCAUGAAUAUGCAAAACACGCUCCACCCUUGAUGGGUUUUAUCAGGCGGAACACAGAUUUUAACUUCUGGUGCUCCGGACAGAAUUUAUGAAAUUUGGAUUAAAACCAAAAUGUCAACAGUUGCUCCACUUUACUCCGUGGAGCCCUUCCAGCUGUCUUUAGAUAGUUUAGUGUCCCGAGUGCAACAGAUAAAUAAUUUGGAAUUGAAUCGAUGGAACAUCCACAGAGACAGUUUAUACCUGAGAAUAAUAUGCAACCACUCCAGCCAGAAGUACCUCAAAAGCUGCAGGCUCUGGAACCUUUAACUCCCAGUUUCCCCCCCUUUUAUGCCAUUAGUCAUUCUGAAAAUCAACAUUUCUAACAGACCGAAAAAUCUGAGCCCAAAUGAUGUUUUAGUCACUUUAGGUUGUGAUGUUUUUAUCACUGUAGGUUAUACAGAGGGCUGCUGUGCAAACCCUAACUGCAAUAAAUAAGUAUAAAUA